AAAAAAAAAAAAGCUGCGAGGCGGCGGAUGGACAAGAGGCGCAGCGACGACUACUGCGCGGCAGGCAGCGGGACGGACAGGAAGGAAGGAAGCCGUCCGGACCGCACAAGCGGACCUACAGGCGUUGACCCGCCUGCUUUUUUUUGUACAUUUUAUUAAUGCUGUUUUUAUUUGUGGUGGCGGGUUUUUUUCAUAGUGGCUUUCAGGCGAAAUGGACGGCACAACCUCGCCGCGCUUUCUUACACACGCCACGUUCCAACACAACAGUGCAAGGAGAAGGUGGAAGAAGCCGUGAUCACCCUGGAGAAUUUCCCCAUGUCCGAAACCAAACGCCGGCACCAAAGUGACGAGCGUGUCAAGAGAAGGAGCAAAAAAAAAAAAAAA